GACGAACGCUGGCGGCGUGCUUAACACAUGCAAGUCGAACGGAAAGGCCCCUUUGUGGGUACUCGAGUGGCGAACGGGUGAGUAACACGUGAGUAACCUGCCCUUGACUUCGGGAUAACUUCAGGAAACUGGGGCUAAUACCGGAUAGGAAUCCUUGCUGCAUGGUGGGGGUUGGAAAGCUUCGGCGGUUUUGGAUGGACUCGCGGCUUAUCAGCUUGUUGGUGGGGUAGUGGCUUACCCAGGCUUUGACGGGUAGCCGGCCUGGGAGGGCGACCGGCCACAUUGGGACUGGGAUACGGCCCAGACUCCUACGGGAGGCAGCAGUGGGGAAUAUUGCACAAUGGGCCGAAGCCUGAUGCAGCAACGCCGCGUGCGGGAUGACCGCCUUCGGGUUGUAAACCGGUUUCAGCAGGGGAGAAGCUUGUGGUGACGGUACCUGCAGAAGAAGCACCGGCUAACUACGUG
rnacentral:rRNA from 1 species